rnacentral:misc_RNA from 1 species
AUGAAUUAAGAGGGACUCGAUGCUGGCCAUUCUUUUUUGACUGUGCACGCUCUGUCGUUCUUCAUUUCUCCAUCUAUUUGUGCACCUCUUGUGGUAGACCUUCUGAGGGCUCUUGGAAGCCCUCAGGUCAUUGGGGACUGCUUUGCAAAAAACAUAUUUGUGGGGCUUUCCUUGACUACUUUCACAUACACUCCAGUUGUUAAUAUUCAGAAGGAUACAAAUGUUAUAUAUGAAAUA